AUGAAGAAAACGGCUUACCUACCAGAGCGAUUCCAACGAUUCUUCGACGUCUGCGAAAUUAUUGGAAACUCAGAUAUCCUCGCGUUUCUUCAGUUAGAAGUGCAGGGAAUUGGUUGGUUAAGUUAUGAAGCUAACUUGGGUGAAAGGUCGAAUUGGGUCCACACGGACAGUAAGUUGCAGUUUUUUCUGGGUAAGACUUAG